rnacentral:rRNA from 1 species
UAGGACGAACGCUGGCGGCGUGCCUAACACAUGCAAGUCGAGCGAGGAGAUCCUUCGGGAUGAUCCUAGCGGCGGACGGGUGAGUAACACGUGGGCAACCUGCCUCAUAGAGAGGAAUAGCCUUCCGAAAGGGAGAUUAAUACCUCAUAACAUUGCAGUUUCGCAUGAAACAGCAAUUAAAGGAGCAAUCCGCUAUGAGAUGGGCCCGCGGCGCAUUAGCUAGUUGGUGAGGUAACGGCUCACCAAGGCGACGAUGCGUAGCCGACCUGAGAGGGUGAUCGGCCACAUUGGGACUGAGACACGGCCCAGACUCCUACGGGAGGCAGCAGUGGGGAAUAUUGCACAAUGGGGGAAACCCUGAUGCAGCCAACGCCGCGUGAGUGAUGACGGCCUUCGGGUUGUAAAGCUCUGUCUUCAGGGACGAUAAUGACGGUACCUGAGGAGGAAGCCACGGCUAACUACGUGCCAGCAGCAGC